rnacentral:rRNA from 1 species
UGGGGGAUAUUGCACAAUGGGCGAAAGCCUGAUGCAGCGACGCCGCGUGGGGGAUGAAGGCUUUCGGGAUGUAAACCUCUUUCGCUAUCGAACAAGGCCCGCUUAGGGUGGGUUGAGGGUAGGUGGAGAAGAAGCGCCGGCUAACUACGUGCCAGCAGCCGCGGUAAUACGUAGGGCGCGAGCGUUGUUCGGAAUUAUUGGGCGUAAAGGGCUUGUAGGCGGCUUGUUGCGCCUGCUGUGAAAACGCGGGGCUUAACUUCGCGCGUGCAGUGGGUACGGGCAGGCUUGAGUGUGGUAGGGGUGACUGGAAUUCCAGGUGUAGCGGUGGAAUGCGCAGAUAUCUGGAGGAACACCGAUGGCGAAGGCAGGUCACUGGGCCAUUACUGACGCUGAGGAGCGAAAGCAUGGGUAGCGAACAGG